CAUGCAAGUCGAACGCAGUAGCAAUACUGAGUGGCAAACGGGUGAGUAUAAUGUGGGAAUCUGCCUUUUGGUUUGGAAUAACACGGGGAAACUUGUGCUAAUACCGAAUAAGCCCUUACGGGGAAAGUUUUAAUGCCAAAAGAUGAGCCCGCACUUGAUUAGCUAGUUGGUAAGGUAAAAGCUUACCAAGGCAACGAUCAAUAGCUGUUCUUAGAGGAAGACCAGCCACAUUGGGACUGAGACACGGCCCAGACUCCUACGGGAGGCAGCAGUGGGGAAUCUUGCACAAUGGGGGAAACCCUGAUGCAGCGAUGCCGCGUGAGUGAAGAAGGCCUUUGGGUUGUAAAACUCUUUCGUCGGGGAAGAAAAUGACUGUACCCGAAUAAGAAGGUCCGGCUAACUUCGUGCCAGCAGCCGCGGUAAUACGAAGGGACCUAGCGUAGUUCGGAAUUACUGGGCUUAAAGAGCUCGUAGGUGGUUAAAAAAGUUGAUGGUGAAAUCCCAAGGCUCAACCUUGGAACUGCCAUCAAAACUUUUUAGCUAGAGUGUGAUAGAGGUAAGUGGAAUUUCUAGUGUAGAGGUGAAAUUCGUAGAUAUUAGAAAGAACACCAAAUGCGAAGGCAACUUACUGGGUCACUACUGACACUGAGGAGCGAAAGCAUGGGUAGCGAAGAGGAUUAGAUACCCUCGUAGUCCAUGCCGUAAACGAUGUGUGCUAGACGUUGGAAAUAUAUUUUUCAGUGUCGCAGCGAAAGCAUUAAGCACACCGCCUGGGGAGUACGACCGCAAGGUUAAAACUCAAAU
rnacentral:rRNA from 1 species